rnacentral:rRNA from 1 species
UACGUAGGGAGCGAGCGUUAUCCGGAUUUAUUGGGUUUAAAGGGUGCGCAGGCGGACUGUUAAGUCAGCGGUCAAAGCCCGGGGCUCAACCCCGGCCCGCCGUUGAAACUGGCAGUCUCGAGUUGGAGAGAAGUAUGCGGAAUGCGCGGUGUAGCGGUGAAAUGCAUAGAUAUCACGCAGAACUCCGAUUGCGAAGGCAGCAUGCCGGCUCCACACUGACGCUGAGGCACGAAAGCGUGGGUAUCGAACAGG